GCAUAACGCGAAGAACCUUACCUACCCUUGACAUGUCAGAGAUCCCUGAGAGAUUGGGGAGUGCCGCAAGGAAUCUGAACACAGGUGCUGCAUGGCUGUCGUCAGCUCGUGUCGUGAGAUGUUGGGUUAAGUCCCGCAACGAGCGCAACCCUUGUCGUUAAUUGCCAUCAUUUGGUUGGGCACUUUAACGAGACUGCCGGUGACAAACCGGAGGAAGGUGGGGAUGACGUCAAGUCCUCAUGGCCCUUAUGGGUAGGGCUUCACACGUCAUACAAUGGUCGGUACAGAGGGUUGCGAAGCCGCGAGGUGGAGCCAAUCCCAGAAAGCCGAUCGUAGUCCGGAUUGGAGGCUGCAACUCGCCUCCAUGAAGUCGGAAUCGCUAGUAAUCGCGGAUCAGAAUGCCGCGGUGAAUACGUUCCCGGGUCUUGUACACACCG
rnacentral:rRNA from 1 species